CAUAGGGUCAUUAUCACAGCACAAUGAACUAUUAGGACAUCACAGGAGAACUACAGAGGAGGGGCCCAGCCUUCACUUGGUUAAAAUCAUAGUUCUCUAAGAGGUUCCUUAAGGAAUAAUGCUAAGGUACUUCUGUGACUCCGGACAAGGAAUUCAAUGGGAAUCAACGAUGGCUUGAAGACCAGGUGCUUUAUAUUUCAUCCCUUCCUCAAGGUUCUCUGCUUCAGGAAAGCCUCUUGUUUCUGCCAUUGGCUCAAGCCUCCACUGAUCCCUUCCCAAUUUUAGAAUCCCUGGAUCUCUUUAAGACUCAGCUCAGCUGUAUGACAGACAUCCACAAUUUUACAGGUGGAGUUCCAUCCAGAAGACAUCAUGCUUCAUGGCCCCUUCAGGACAACCCUAUUACACUACAUAUAUGUAAGGAGAUGUGGGAAAGAAAAAGAGAGAAGAGAAAUGAGGCAAGAGAGAGAGAUUGGGACUUGACCUAUAUUUACAUAAUCAUGUGUAAGGAGAAGAGAUGUUAGUCCUCUGGAGCCUUAAAAUCACUAUUGUGAAUAUGAAGUGGGAACAGUUGUCUCAGAAGGAAUGGUCCUAUGAUUUAUCCCAAAUAUCAUCACACUGAACUUGGAGUACUAAAGGAUUCUGGAACCAUAUAUAAUAAACUGCUUUGUGUCCCAAGGCUAGUCUAUUUUCAAAAUUAAAAGAAUAGUUAGUGAGAGCUUCAUUUAGAUGAGCCAGCCACCUAUCAUACAAAGUUCCCUUCUCUUGCCUCCACCUUUUGACAAAGCAUAAUGUUUAUUUUACCUAAUUAUAAAAGAGAUCCAAUUAAAAUCUUAUUAGAAGGAGGUUGAACUUCCUGAUAGGCACAUUCCUUCAUCUUUAAUAUUUUAUUGACUGCCUGUUUCAUUCCCUAUGGCAACUGUUCCAAUACCUUAUACUUUCUCCCUAAAUCUGCUCUAUCCUAAACACAUAGCAUAUAGUUUGAUCUGCUACUUCACUGGGAAGAUUGAAGCCAUCUGACAUCAACUUUCCUGUACUCCUUCAAAUUUCUCAAUGUCAUCACCUGCUCCUUCACCUUUUUUCCUACCUCAGAAGAAGCCAUCUCCCUAGUCCUUACUAAAGCUACUUCCUCUAACUGCCUAUUCUACAUCAUUUACUUCUACUCUCUUCUUCAUUCAUAAUCCAAGUCAUCCUUCACAUUAUGACUAGAAAUUAUCUUUCUACAAAGACCCAGUCACGCCACUCCUCAGCUCAAAAUCUUUUAGUGAGUCCCUAUGACCCACCAAACUUUUAUCUUUUGAUGGGCAUUCAAUUAUGUUUACCGUUAUCCCUUAUUUUCCCUUAUCUUUUCCCCUCUGUAUUCUCUUUGUACCAGUCAAAUUGAAUUAUUCACAUUCCUCCAUGACACUCCACACUUUCACAUCUGUGUCUUUACUCAAGUUUUUCCUAAGCCUAGAAAGGCCUCCUUUCCCAUUCCACUAUUUUUUUCUAAUUCUCUGAAACAACUCCAAUUCUAUGUCUUUUGAUUAUUAAUCCCCCCAGAUACAUUGCAUUCUGCUUGUACUUCACAUAUUAAUUUUUACCAGUUAUUCACAUAUAUAUUAUACCUCCCUAUUACCUUAUAUGUUACAAUGAACAAUGCCAUACUAAUUUGGUCUCUUGUGCAGUACCAAGAACAGAACUCUGCACACAGCCAUUUGAUAAAUGUUUAUUAAUUUGAAUAGAUGGCAUGGAGAAGAGUAAACUAUCAUAAGAAUACCCUUGGUUUCCUUUAUGAUGAGAAAGAUGAUAGAAUAUCUCCCUCUACCUCUUCCCACAAAUAUAACUAAAGACAAUGAAAGAGGAUAUGGUUGGCAAUUUCAUAUUACUAGAGCUUCUCUGAGUUGCCAGCAAUAGAGACUACACUGUUCCUCUAGGUAACUUCUUUGCAAGUGGUACAUAGGCCCAUAUGAAACAUUUUGGUUGUGGCUAUGUGGCUAAAGUACUUUCUUAAGCUUUCAGGGAGGCAGGGUGUCACUGUGUUAAUAAUCCAGCAAGGGAGUUGAUUAUGAGGUUAGUUAAGCAUGGUAUUUAUAUUAACCAGCAGGUAGUGCCCUACUUGAGAUAUCAGCCCUGAUUUCCCUGCUUUUUUGACAUUUGCACACUGUGGUGGACAUUUUUCUCCCUAAUAAGUUGCAGUAUCCACACAUGGCCACUACAAGGCAUUCAAAUUUGAAAAUAGGCUGUUCCAGAAUCACAAUUCCUCAUAGAAAACCAACUUUUGUUAACUUGUCUCUGGGCUGAAUCUCACAUUUAAUCUCUUCAGUCUCUGGGGAGAAGGGCAUUGGAUUCCUAACUUAACUUAAUUCUCAUAGAGUACAGUCCCAAUUACAAGUAUAUAAUAACCCCUCUGCGGCUUGAAUCUCAGGUACCCUUGGCUUCUUCUGCCUUCCACACUGGACUGGCACCCUGUACCAGCUCACCUGCAAUCCUGGCUUCAAGGUCAACAUGACUUGAACUUCUGUUCCCAUGAGGAUCACCCUUGGCACCUGAAACUGAGGACAAAUAGCAUAGAACAGAAACAAAAAUCUCUAGGCCCCUUUCUCAGAGCACAGGUAAAAAGAUAGAGUGCAGGGGAAGGCAUCCUUUCCCUCUCACUGGUUUGGUCCAUGGUGCCAAUUAGUAGGUGAACUGAGAUUUCAUUCUCAGGAUGCAACAGAUAAGAGUGAUCAAAAAGAGAUUGGAGGAAAAGAGGACAGCAGAAAAUGUUGGAGGAAAAAAAAUGCUAUCUCCCACCUACAUGGAAGGAGAUUCAGAGGCCUCCAUGGAAAGCAAACUAGACAUGCCCUAAAGGUCCCUCAGGGAUGCCUUCAUUUCACCUGAAUUGGGUGUGCCUGGACAAGACCUGGUUACAAUUAGAUAAAAGGUUGCUAUCUUUAAUGGCCACAUGUUCUCCUUUCGUUUUCUAUUUCAUUUCUUCCUCCCCCAUUCAGAUUUCCAAAAGUGAGAUGGGAGUAGGUAGGGUGACUAAUGCCUGUAUGAAGAGAUACUGAUAUCACAACCAGCACAGUCCAGAAAAAACCCAAGUUGGGUUAGUUAUAGGACUGAGGCCAUUCAGGAGGAAAGUCUGCCCAGACCUGAGAACUUUUGAGCAUUGGAGUUGAGACAGUGAUCAGAGUUUUGAGAAGAUAUUAGCUAUUAAAAAUUCCUUUUGACUGAUCAACUCGGGGUAACUGCUUUCUCUUUUUAGUCCAUGAGACCAAGGGGAAAAAUGAAAAAUGCUAAUUCACUACAUCCAUUCCUUUCCAUGAACUGAGAACAAAGGUAAGGUUUCAUACCUUCAGUACUCAAAACUCUGGGAGGAAGUCAAGAGGAGGUCUAGGAAUGGGAGAUAAUUGAUGGUGAAUAUUUCCAUAUGGUUGCUGUUUGUACUUGGUGUACAAUAAACUAUGUAA